UUAGAUUUGAUUUUUAUUAUCUAAUAUUUAAUCUAAAAUUAAAUCUAAAACUUGAGGAUUAGAGGAAUACCUCUAGGGUAACUAGAUUACCUUGUAGAUGAUCACAGCAAUGCCCGAGGUUCUAAAAUAGCCAUGCAGUCGCCUGGCCUCUACCAGUAUCCACUCAAGUAGAAUCUAGAUUAUCUUCUCCUCAUGAAUUUUUUCUCCAAAAAUCAAAUCUAGAUCUAAUCUGCA
rnacentral:lncRNA from 1 species